rnacentral:rRNA from 1 species
GAUCAUGGCUCAGAUUGAACGCUGGCGGCAGGCUUAACACAUGCAAGUCGAGCGGGCGAGGUUGCUUCGGUAACUGAGCUAGCGGCGGACGGGUGAGUAAUGCUUAGGAAUCUGCCUAUUAGUGGGGGACAACAUUCCGAAAGGAAUGCUAAUACCGCAUACGCCCUACGGGGGAAAGCAGGGGAUCUUCGGACCUUGCGCUAAUAGAUGAGCCUAAGUCAGAUUAGCUAGUUGGUGGGGUAAAGGCCUACCAAGGCGACGAUCUGUAGCGGGUCUGAGAGGAUGAUCCGCCACACUGGGACUGAGACACGGCCCAGACUCCUACGGGAGGCAGCAGUGGGAAUUUGGACAAUGGACGAAAGUCUGAUCCAGCCAUGCCGCGUGAAGGAUGAAGGUCCUCUGGAUUGUAAACUUCUUUUUUCUGGGGAGAAAUGCACUUUUUCUAAAGUGUUUGACGGUACCAGAAGAAUAAGCACCGGCUAACUCCGUG